rnacentral:rRNA from 1 species
AUUGAACGCUGGCGGCAGGCCUAACACAUGCAAGUCGAGCGAGCGGCGGACGGGUGAGUAAUGUAUGGGGACUGCCCGAUAGAGGGGGAUAACUACUGGAAACGGUGGCUAAUACCGCCUACUAUCGGAUAACCCAUAUGGGAUUAGCUAGUAGGUGGGGUAAAGGCUCACCUAGGAGACGCUCUCUAGCUGGUCUGAGAGGAUGAUCAGCCACACUGGGACUGAGACACGGCCCAGACUCCUACGGAGGCAGCCGUGGGGAUCUUUAGACAAUGGGGGCAAACCUGAUGCAGUCAUGCCGCGUGGAUGAAAAGGUCCUUAGGGUUGUAAACUACGUAGGGCGGGGAGACGUUACCCGCAGAAAAAUCACCGGCUAACUCCGUGCCAGCCGCCGCGGUAAUUC